GCAUUUGGUGGAUGCCUUGGCGAUAACAGGCGAUGAAGGACGUUGUAGUCUGCGAUAAGCCUCGGGGAGCUGACAAACAAGCUUUGAUCCGAGGAUUUCCGAAUGGGGAAACCCACCGCACUCGUGCGGUAUCCGCAUCUGAAUACAUAGGAUGUGUGAAGCGAACCCGGGGAACUGAAACAUCUAAGUACCCGGAGGAAAAGAAAUCAACCGAGAUUCCCUUAGUAGCGGCGAGCGAAAGGGGACCAGCCGAAUCAAUUAACUGUAGUGGAAGAUUCUGGAAAGUUUCGCGAAACAG
rnacentral:rRNA from 1 species